GAUCCUACGGGGAGGCAGCAGUGGGGAAUAUUGCACAAUGGGGGAAACCCUGAUGCAGCCAUGCCGCGUGUGUGAAGAAGGCCUUCGGGUUGUAAAGCACUUUCAGUAGGGAGGAAGGUAGUGUAGUUAACACCUGCACUAUUUGACGUUACCUACAGAAGAAGCACCGGCUAACUCCGUGCCAGCAGCCGCGGUAAUACGGAGGGUGCGAGCGUUAAUCGGAAUUACUGGGCGUAAAGCGCAUGCAGGCGGCCUGUUAAGUCAGAUGUGAAAGCCCGGGGCUUAACCUCGGAAUUGCAUUUGAAACUGGCAGGCUAGAGUCUUGUAGAGGGGGGUAGGAAUUUCAGGUGUAGCGGUGAAAUGCGUAGAGAUCUGAAGGAAUACCAGUGGCGAAGGCGGCCCCCUGGACAAAGACUGACGCUCAGAUGCGAAAGCGUGGGGAGCAAACAGGAUUAGAUACCCUGGUAG
rnacentral:rRNA from 1 species